GGGUAUAUAGCUCAGUGGUAGAGUGCAUGCCUAGCAUGCAUGAGGUCCUGGGUUCAAUCCCCAGUACCUCCU
rnacentral:tRNA from 1 species